rnacentral:rRNA from 1 species
CUACGGGCCGCAGCAGUGAGGAAUAUUGGUCAAUGGGCGGAAGCCUGAACCAGCCAUGCCGCGUGCAGGAUGACGGCCCUACGGGUUGUAAACUGCUUUUCCCCGGGAAGAAUAAGCCCCUCGUGAGGGGUGAUGCCGGUACCGGGGGAAUAAGGAUCGGCUAACUCCGGCCAGCAGCCGCGGUAAUACGGAGGAUCCGAGCGUUAUCCGGAUUUACUGGGUUUAAAGGGUACGUAGGCGGGACCCUAAGUCAGCGGUGAAAGGCUGCGGCUCAACCGCAGAACUGCCGUUGAAACUGGGGUCCUUGGAUGCGGUCGAGGCCGGCGGAAUGCGUGGUGUAGCGGUGAAAUGCUUAGAUAUCACGCAGAACGCCAAUUGCGAAGGCAGCUGGCCGGGCCGCAAUCGACGCUGAGGCACGAAAGCGUGGGGAUCAAACAGGAUUAGAUACCCCCGUAGUC